AAUCACUACGCCCAUAUCUCUAAUAAAAAUUAUUAUUUAAAAAUACAUUUUUUUCACUUAAUUAAUUUUUAAGGUAAUUUUUGCAUUUUUUUUUUUAGGGCAUUUUUGUGUUUUUAGGUUAUCAACAUCCUAACUCUAGUAAUCAGCAAUGCUUUGUUUCAGGAAAAUUAACUUACAUUGAAUACUAGUUUUCAGUUGAGUUCAAUCAAGUUCAGAAUAAUCUCAGAUUAGAGAUGGAAUAUUAAGAUCCGAACGAGUUAUGGUCACCCUUAAAUUGCACAAAAUGUCCAGCACCUUAAUGAAUUGUUCAUUGUACCUAUUUUAUUGUAUUGCGUUUAUCAAAUUAAAUAAAUAAAAGGUUAAAAGUUGAA